UUGAUUGAUUGAGUAGAAAAACGUAGAAAGCAUUUGCCAAAUUGUUGGGAUACAAAGUCGAAUCAAGAGAGUUGUGCGAUGAGAAGGCGCCUAGGAAAUAACAAUCAACAAAUCACAAAUCACACAUUUCACACCCUAUAGCCGAAUUUUUUGAUCAAGCUCAGCAUUAGACGGCGCUCGUAUAUAUACAUAUAUAUACCCACAUCAAAUCUAUAGUGCAUCUCUAAUAACAAAAAA